rnacentral:lncRNA from 1 species
UUUCAAUUCGUAUUCUGCAAGUCGUAUUGUUUCAAGUGGAUAAAAGUUUGAUCCAUGGAUUUAGAAUAUUUGUUUUUUUGUUGAUAUCGAUUUACGUAUCCUGAUGUUAAUCCUGAUGUUAAAUUUUUCGAUCAUGAUUUCCCUGUUUAAUUCUUACGGCAUAAAUUUAAAUUAAUUUUGAAUAAGGAUGGCCAAAAUACACGAGCCAACUAACGCAAACGAGACACAAAUGAGACGUAGAUGGAGCUCGAAAAGCGGUGAAGGCCACCUUAGAAACCGGUCGGAAAGAAGGUAGAUGAAUGGUGUAGAUGUCCGAGUUGUCCAUACUAGCCAAGUCAGGAGUGCCAUGGGAAUUAGCUCCAGUGUCCAGAUUCCAAGUGGUGUAUGAGUCCGCUUCUUAAAAUUUUUAGAAGUUGCGUUUUCAAUGUGAACUCAUGAGAAGCGGUCGAUCGAGCAUAUGCACGUGCCAAACUCAACCAUACAUCCCGAGCGGUUUCUCCUUGGAUGUGUUGAAACGAGGACUCGGAAACCGUUGAGAUGAUAAUCAUGUGAACGUGAGCAUCGUUGGCAAUCCAGUUUGUGAAAUUAGGAUUUGUGGUUGUAGCAUUCUCGGUUGAAAUUUUUUCUUCUGGGCAAGGUAGAGUGUUGUCAAUGUAACAAUAUAAGGCAUUAGCUUUCAAAAACGGUUCCAUCAUAGCUUUCCAAUAACCAUAGUUGUUAGGGUUGAGAUUAAACGCAAACUUAUGUGAAUUAUGUGAUGUUCGUUCUUGAAUGUUGAAAGCAGUAAUUGUUGCUGUUCUGUUGAAGGCUGUUGGCUGGAAAAAGCAGUAA